GCCAGCGGCUGUAUCACCCGGCAGCUCACGGCUGGCAGCCCACUGAAGCUCAGCAGGAGUGAUCCUGGUCCGUACCUGGAUGGGAGACCUCCUGGGAAAACUAAGACUGCUGCUGGAA
rnacentral:rRNA from 1 species